rnacentral:rRNA from 1 species
UGAGGAAUAUUGGACAAUGGGUGAGAGCCUGAUCCAGCCAUCCCGCGUGAAGGAUGACGGUCCUAUGGAUUGUAAACUUCUUUUGUACAGGGAUAAACCUACUCUCGUGAGGGUAGCUGAAGGUACUGUACGAAUAAGCACCGGCUAACUCCGUGCCAGCAGCCGCGGUAAUACGGAGGGUGCAAGCGUUAUCCGGAUUUAUUGGGUUUAAAGGGUCCGUAGGCGGACUUGUAAGUCAGUGGUGAAAUCUCAUAUCUUAACUAUGAAACUGCCAUUGAUACUGCAGGUCUUGAGUAAAUUUGAAGUGGCUGGAAUAAGUAGUGUAGCGGUGAAAUGCAUAGAUAUUACUUAGAACACCAAUUGCGAAGGCAGGUCACUAAGAUUUAACUGACGCUGAUGGACGAAAGCGUGGGGAGCGAACA